CCUACGUGAGGCAGCAGUGGGGAAUAUUGCACAAUGGGGGAAACCCUGAUGCAGCGACGCCGCGUGAGUGAAGAAGUAUUUCGGUAUGUAAAGCCCUAUCAGCAGGGAAGAAAAUGACGGUACCUGAUUAGGAAGCCCCGGCUAACUACGUGCCAGCCGCCGCGGUAAUAAGUAGGGAGCAAGCGUUAUCCGGAUUUACUGGGUGUAAAGGGAGCGUAGGCGGGAGCACAAGUCUGGAGUGAAAUGCCCGGGCUUAACCCCGGAACUGCUUUGGAAACUGUGCAGCUAGAGUGCAGUAGAGGCAGGCGGAAUGCCUGGUGUAGCGGUGAAAUGCGUAGAUAUUAGGAAGAACACCAGUGGCGAAGGCAGCUUGCUGGACUGUAACUGACGUUGAGGCUCGAAAGCGUGGGGAGCAAACAGGAUUAGAUACCCCUGUAGUC
rnacentral:rRNA from 1 species